AUUGAACGCUGGCGGCAGGCCUAACACAUGCAAGUCGAGCGAGCGGCGGACGGGUGAGUAAUGUCUGGGAAACUGCCUGAUGGAGGGGGAUAACUACUGGAAACGGUAGCAAAUACCGCAUACCAUCAGAUGUGCCAAGAUGGGAUUAGCUAGUAGGUGGGGUAACGGCUCACCUAGGCGACGAUCCCUAGCUGGUCUGAGAGGAUGACCAUCAACACUGGAACUGAGACACGGCCCAUACUCCUACGGGAGGCAGCAGUGGGGAAUAUUGCACUAUGGGCGCAAGCCUGCUGCAGCCAUGCCGCGUGUGUGAAGAAGGCCUUCGGGUUUUAAAGCACUUUCAGUGGGGAGGCGUUACCCACAGAAGAAGCACCGGCUAACUCCGUGCCAGCAGCCGCGGUAAUUC
rnacentral:rRNA from 1 species